AGUGUUUAUUAAAUACUAAGAGACAUGGUAGAUGUCCUAGAAAAAACUGGUAGUAACUCAAUGUAGAUACACAUAGUCGAUGGAGUUACUUGCUAAUAACUGGCAAUGAGACAUAUUUGCUUCAAAUGAUGCCUUUAAAGUUUGAAAAGAUUUUUUCUAAUUCAAAUGUCGACUUUUUGUUACAUGAAAAAAGAUACUUAUUUCAACCCCUCGACUAUAUUGAUACACUUAGUAUGUGGAGUUACUUGUCAAUAGCUGGCGAUAAAACUUUUAAACGUAACGUCUUUAAGGGCUGAGAAGGUAAAAAUUAGAAGUCUGCAGACUGCAACGUAAAUCGAUUUCAACACGUUAUGGCUUCUCGAAUAUAUUUAGUUUCCGAUUGAAAUGAGAAUAAACUGAACUUAUAUAUAAAGUGUUUACAAUUAACUUUUUAAACUAGAAAUACUCCAAAGGAGGUUCUCCAAACGCAAGUUAAGCAAAGUCGAUAGAUGUUAAUAUCUUUUAUAUUAUGUUUUAGAUAUAAAAAAAAUUUUUGUGACUUUUAUAUUUAUGUUAUAAUUGUAAAUUGCAAUCUUAAAAGGAUUUUAUUAUUACUU
rnacentral:lncRNA from 1 species